UCUCCAUUCUCUAACCCUGUCCUCUUCUCUUCUCUCUAUAAUAUCUGUGUAACUCCUCUACAUGUUGUAAGAUAUAGCAGGACUGCACUCAUCUGUAAAAACACUAUUUCUGCACUCCUGGUUAGAUGCAAACUGCAUUUCAGUAGCUCUGUACCUCUAAAGAUCCGCCCCCCUUCAAACAGCUGGUACUCCCAUCACUACAGAGUCUGCACGAGCAGCGCAUGCUCCUGGGUCCAGUCUGAUAGAGACGAGAUGGCGGCAGCAGCGUCUAAGAGGAUGAGCGUCCGACAGAGAGUUCCUGCUAAGAGCGACCGGGACCGGACCAGCCAGGAAGUCAGCACCGGGGUGAGUACCUGGCUCUGGGACCAGUGUGACAGUUUAAUUGGUUGCCACAUGAACUGGGGAUGUUACUGCAGAAGUUCAUGCGGUCGCUCUGAUUUGUGCCCUGGUGGUUUUUAAUCUGUGUGUGUGCUGACAUCCAGCCUGUACGGGCAACAGGAUGAGGGAUUUGUUGAGUCCAGAUCGCCGUUGAGUCAGGACGCUGAAGUUAGCUUCCAGUUCUGCACUUAAGGGAAAGUUAACUUACUGCUGAGCUUUUGCUCCUCUUGUUGUGAAAGCUGUCAGACAUUUUAAGUUUAACUCUGUCUGAAAAUCCAAAAAAGAAACUUCCCCAUCGUAGGACUACUAGGAAAAGAUGUGAGUCCGGCUGGACCUGCUGGGACUUUGUAAACAAAUCUGAGGCGCUAAAUCUGUACUGUCAGUGUGUUUUCUAUAGAGAGCAAAACAUAGUGAGGGCUACAUGGAAAGGAGGGCAGAAGAAGGAAGGAAAGAUACAGAAAGACAGAGAGAAGCAAACUGAGACAAACAUUUGGAAGGUUUAGUAGUUAAAGGACUGCAGCCCCAAGUUGUAGCAGUAUCUUGGAGCUGAAUUUUUCUCUUUAGUGUUUAUUCAGAAUAUUUAAUAAUUCACAGACUCAGCUUUAAGAUUUCUUUAUUUGACUGUUCUGCAGAAUGAAGUGAUGCAGUCCUGAAAAUCAAGCUCUUCACAGUCCUCCCAAAGCACACUCUGUACUGCCCUCCCUUUCCAGGACGUCCUCUCCAUAUUUGGUCCAGUCCAGUCAGUAUCUCUGAACCUACAAUGAAUCACUCUGAGAACUUGGCCGGAAAAGUAGUUUAGUGCACAUUCCAACGAGAUCGCUUCAUCCUGUUCCUCACAUGUUGGCCAGAGUCCAAGGAAACCCAACCUAACAGAAAAACAUCUGGUUUCUAGUUUUUCAGAAAAACAGAGAGGAAGAGAUGGACUUAAACAACACCACUGUGACAAAUCCUUCAGAACAUCUGGACAGUCAAAGAAUCAUCGGAGAGUUCACACUGGAGAGAAACCGUACAGCUGUGACCAGUGUGGGAAGGUUUUCUCUACUUUAAGUAAUCUAAAAAGUCACAAAUAUGUUCACAUGGGGGAGAAACCGUACUGGUGUGAGCAGUGUGGGAAAUAUUUUACCCGAUCAUUGGAGCUAAAAAUUCACCAACGCAUUCACACGGGAGAGAAAGCGUACCGGUGUGAACAGCGUGGGAAAAGAUUUACUCACAGUAAAACCCUGAAACGGCACCAAUGCGGUCACGCUGCAUCGCUGUAAACAUUUUUCAGAGCCAAGCUAGCUCUUGCCUGCUGCCUCCUC